CCUGUCCGAGACAAAGCUACCUUUCUUUCCUUGUGGGAAUGGACCGGCCGGGCUUUGGCAAUCUGUCCCCUCGAAAGACAAAGUGACCUCUUCCAACAGGGGAAGACUGAAGCAAGGGGUGCCAGGAAGAACUGGAGUCUCUGGAGAAUAAAAGCUGGAAGCGUGCCCCCGAAAGUCCCCAGCCCCGGGUGGUCAGUGGUCUGACUUGCACGGACCGGUGGCCCUGGCCAGGAGCGGUCCUGCCGGCCUGUACUUUUAAUUUCCUGCCCAGGCUGUAAUUUUAAUUUCCACUGGGUGCUGGCAAAGCCCCCCUGGGGGUGAGCCCCAGUGCCUGGCAGGAGCAGAGCGGGCUUGCGGGGAUGUAUUCACCCGGUCAGCGUCAGGAACCAUCCUAACUGAGGCCUCGGCUGCCUCUUUCCCUUCGGUCGCCGUGGACACUGUGCCGGACACCUCUGGCAGGACUAACCCUGUGGCUUUUAUGUCCAACAUGCUGUAUGCCUGCAGCAUCCUGUCCGAGACAAAGCUACCUUUCUUUCCUCGUGGGAAUGGACCGGCCGGGCUUUGGCAGUCUGUCCCCUCGAAAGACUAAAGUGACCUCUUGCAGCAGGGGAAGACUGAAGCAAGGGGUGCCAGGAAGAACUGGAGUCUCUGGAGAAUAAAAGCUGGAAGAGUGCCCCCGAAAGUCCCCAGCCCCGGGUGGUCAGUGGUCUGACUUGCACGGACCGGUGGCCUUGGCCAGGAGUGGUCCUGCGGGAAGCACCUUUGCCCAGGCUGUAAUUUUAAUUUCCACUGGGUGCUGGCAAAGCCCCCCUGGGGGUGAGCCCCAGUGCCUGGCAGGAGCGGAGCGGGCUUGCGGGGAGGUGUUCACCCGGUCAGCGUCAGGAACCAUCCUAACUGAGG